rnacentral:lncRNA from 1 species
UAUUCAAUGUGAGGAAUUUCAUACUUUUGGUGUGGUGCUAGCAAAUAUAGUGACCAAAUAUAGUGAUGAGAAAGGGUGGAGCUGAGUAUGCCACACAUGGAUAUGAUUAUUUCCCCUAUGUUCUUUUUGGCAAUCCACUUCAUCACUGACUCAUAUGUGUAUGGGUGAGCUAACAAGCCUGUAUUAUGUCUUCCCUCUUUCUUUGUAAGUGAAGGAUUUCGGAUUGCUGCACAUUAUUCAACUGCUAUACUUGUGAAAGAGAAAUGUGCUAAACUAUAGUACUCCCUCCGUCGCAUGAUGAGUUUCAGCAACUCUUAUUUUGGAAUGGAGGGAGUAGUAAAUUACUUUUGGUUUUUUCUUUGUUGAUCUGAUAAUAAUUAAGUUUAAAAAUAUGUUAUCUUCUAUUUCACUAAUAGGGUAGAGCCAAGGUGGCACAAGUGUGUGGCCAUGGUUUUCUUUUAUCGUUUUAUCAAAUCAAUGGAAAUACAUCUGCAUAGUUAUGGAUUGAUACUACAAAUAAUGCUUUAAAUAAUGGCAUCUUCUCAGCAACCCUUCAUGCACCCCCUCGCGAGAACCACCGAAACAUUCCCAGGAAAUUCUUCUCGCUUGCUGCAGCCCAUGGUGCACCAUCCGAUCUCUGUGUGCUGCACAGUUAUAUGUGGUCUUAUAUCAUGCACGUGUGUUGCAAGUGUUUCUCUCUACUUUGUGCUCCAAAUUUGUUUUUCGUACAAUAUGGAAGAUUAAUGUAUAUAUUCUUCUAAAGUUAUAGUACAUUCAUGGUCUGUGUAUAUCUAUUUGUAUGCUGCAAACCUGAGUCAGGCAGGCAGCAACUAAUUUCUUCAUUUGCUAUCUUUAUAAUCAACUUGAUUGGCAGACUUCAGGUAAUUCGUGUUCGUGUGGUAAGAAUUGAACUCAUGUGUUGCUCUUUUACCACUUUCUUGAUGCAAAUAGCAUCAAAGGACCUGUACUGCUAUGAAUUACAUCACGGAUUAUGUGCUACUUUAUUAGUUGAAGUCUCUUUGUACAGUUAGUUCUCAAAAACAGAACCACUUCUGCUGGUGUAUAUGUUUCUUGGCAACAUUUGGUGUAAUACUAAUCUUCCAGAGAUUGUUGUAAGAAAUAACUAUAUUUAGUAUCUUUAUCUCAUCAAUGGGCUAAUUCUAUAAAAAGAACUAAUAAGGAGAUUUCUUAGCAGUACUGUAUAUGUCUGGAGCAAUGAGGUAAUUUUGUCGUAUGUUACUUUCUUUCUCUUGCAUUUCCUAAUUUUGUUUUCCACCCCAUUUUUUCAGGUUCCAAAGUUUGGCCACAACUAGCUUGAUUCGGAGACAUUUCGUAUUAGGAGUUAAACUUUGGUUUGGAGGCAUUGAGCUUUGCCAGUAACUAGCUUUGUUACUUGGUAUACUUAUGUCAGCAUUCAGGUAAACAACUAUCUACCACAUUGUUUAAUCUGGGGUUUACCCGGUGCCAAGUGUACUAUAUCGCUAGAUUUAACUUUAACCUAUGUGUUGCUCCAUAUGUAUCUCGGCAUAAAUGGUUCAUCAUACUAGGAUUUAAUGUAGUGAUCUUAGUUCUGUUGCUUCUUGGUGAAUAUAAAUUAUAUUGCGUUUUCAUGGAAGCAGGAGCCCCGUAGUUGUCUAGCGGGUCGCGGGAGAGGCAGCCGGUGAGUGCGAGCUGGACGGGAAGGUGAUGCCUGCGAUGGAGAACCAUGCUGGUGGGUAGGGCAGGGUCGACGCUCUAAUUGUACUGCCUGACAGCUUGUCUUAGUCUUAAUAAAAGUGCAUAUCUGCAGCAUCCUUUAAUUUAUUUGGCAUAUCCUACUUUAAACAGUAUCCUUGACUCGCAUCGAUUUCAAAUAACUGAAGUAUCUUCUCUGCUCAUGUGUCCACAUAAAGCCCAAUCAUGUAUAUGUACUGAUGGCAGCAUGCAUUCCAAUUUAGAGAGGUUCCAAUGCUUUCCUUUUUUUCACAUUCGUGCUUAUCUUCUUGUAUUGUUUAGCAAUGAGAUCAAUAGUAGCACUUGGCCAGAAUAUGAAUGUUUAGUGCUUCUGAAUUUCAGUGACAAGUGGUACUGAAUUUUAACUAAGUGCUUCUGAUAUGUCAAUGACAAGUGGUACUGAAUUCUAACUAAGUGCUUCUGAACUUCUUGUGAUGAAUGGGUUUUCUGAGUGUAAGGCCC